rnacentral:rRNA from 1 species
CCUACGGGAGGCAGCAGUGAGGAAUAUUGGUCAAUGGGCGGAAGCCUGAACCAGCCAAGUCGCGUGAGGGAAUAAGGCCCUACGGGUCGUAAACCUCUUUUGCCGGGGAGCAAGGGCCGGUACGAGUCCCGGUCCGGAGAGUACCCGGAGAAAAAGCAUCGGCUAACUCCUUGCCAGCAGCCGCGGUAAUCCGGAGGAUGCGAGCGUUAUCCGGAUUUAUUGGGUUUAAAGGGUGCGUAGGCGGGCUUUUAAGUCAGCGGUAAAAAUUCGGGGCUCAACCCCGGCCGGCCGUUGAAACUGGGGGCCUUGAGUGGGCGAGAAGAAGGCGGAAUGCGUGGUGUAGCGGUGAAAUGCAUAGAUAUCACGCAGAACCCCGAUUGCGAAGGCAGCCUUCCGGAGCCCGACUCACGCUGAGGCACGAAAGUGCGGGGAUCGAACAGGAUUAGAUACCCGAGUAGUC